rnacentral:rRNA from 1 species
UACGGUAGGGUGCGAGCGUUAAUCGGAAUUACUGGGCGUAAAGCGUGCGCAGGCGGUUCGUGAUGUCUGAUGUGAAAGCCCCGGGCUCAACCUGGGAACUGCAUUGGAAACUAGCGGGCUGGAGUGUGGCAGAGGGGGAUGGAAUUCCGCGUGUAGCAGUGAAAUGCGUAGAUAUGCGGAGGAACACCGAUGGCGAAGGCAAUCCCCUGGACCUGUACUGACGCUCAUGCACGAAAGCGUGGGGAGCAAACAGG